rnacentral:rRNA from 1 species
AGGGUUUGAUCCUGGCUCAGGACGAACGCUGGCGGUGCGCCUUAUGCAUGCAAGUCGAGCGAAGCUUUUCAGUAGUUUACUACAGAAAAUGACUGAGCGGCGAACGGGUGAGUAACGCGUGAGCAACCUACCUUAGUUACUGGGAUAGCCCGAGGAAACUCGGAUUAAUACCGGAUAUUCUUAUUUAAUCACAUGAUUUUUUAAGGAAAGGUCAGCCGAACUAAGAUGGGCUCGCGUUCUAUCAGCUAGUUGGUAGGGUAAUGGCCUACCAAGGCUACGACGGAUAGCUGGUCUGAGAGGACGAUCAGCCACACUGGGACUGAGACACGGCCCAGACUCCUACGGGAGGCUGCAGCAGGGAAUAUUGCGCAAUGAGCGAAAGCUUGACGCAGCGACACCGCGUGUGGGAUGACGGAUCUAGGUUUGUAAACCACUUUCAGGAGGGAAGAAAAUGACGGUACCUCCACAAGAAGCCCCGGCCAACUACGUGCCAGCAGCCGCGGUAAUACGUAGGGGGCGAGCGUUGUCCGGAUUUAUUGGGCGUAAAGAGCUCGUAGGCGGUUCAACAAGUCGGUCGUGAAAGUUCAGGGCUCAACCCUGAAAUGUCGAUCGAUACUGUUGUGACUAGGAUACGGUAGAGGUGAGUGGAAUUCCGAGUGUAGCGGUGAAAUGCGUAGAUAUUCGGAGGAACACCAAUUGCGAAGGCAGCUCACUGGGCCGCUAUCGACGCUGAGGAGCGAAAGCUAGGGGAGCAAACAGGAUUAGAUACCCUGGUAGUCCUAGCUGUAAACGAUGGAUACUAGAC